AGCUUUGCGCAGUGGCGAUAUCGUAACCAAUGAGGUACAACCGAGGUGCGAUUAUUGCUAGUUGAAAAAAAAAAUGUUAUGAUGUGGUGAAAACUGUAAAGUAUGUACAAUUCCAAUUUUUCGAGUCGAUUUUUA